rnacentral:rRNA from 1 species
GUCCAGACUCCUACGGGAGGCAGCAGUGGGGAAUAUUGGGCAAUGGGCGCAAGCCUGACCCAGCAACGCCGCGUGAAGGAAGAAGGCUUUCGGGUUGUAAACUUCUUUUAAGAGGGAAGAGUAGAAGACGGUACCUCUUGAAUAAGCCACGGCUAACUACGUGCCAGCAGCCGCGGUAAUACGUAGGUGGCAAGCGUUGUCCGGAUUUACUGGGUGUAAAGGGCGUGUAGCCGGGCCGGCAAGUCAGAUGUGAAAUCCCAAGGCUCAACCUUGGAACUGCAUUUGAAACCGUUGGUCUUGAGUAUCGGAGAGGCAGGCGGAAUUCCUAGUGUAGCGGUGAAAUGCGUAGAUAUUAGGAGGAACACCAGUGGCGAAGGCGGCCUGCUAGACGACAACUGACGGUGAGGCGCGAAAGCGUGGGGAGCAAACAGGAUUA